rnacentral:rRNA from 1 species
GACGAACGCUGGCGGCGUGCUUAACACAUGCAAGUCGAACGGAAAGGCCCGGCUUUUGUUGGGGGCUCGAGUGGCGAAAGGGUGAAUAACACGUGAGUAACCUGCCCGUGAUGUUGGGAUAACGUCAGGAAACUGGGGCUAAUAGCGGAUAUGAGCUCCUGCUGCAUGGGGGGGGUUGGAAAGUUUCGGCGGUUGGGGAUGGACUCGCGGCUUAUCAGCUUGUUGGUGGGGUAGUGGCUCACGAAGGCUUUGACGGGUAGCCGGCCUGCGCGUGUGACCUGCGACAUGGGGAAGGAGAUAAGGCCCAGAAGCAUACGGGAGAAAGGCGUGGGGAGUAUUACACAGUGGGAGGAAGCCUGAGGGAGCAACGCCGGGUGCGGGAUGAUGGACUUCGGGUUGCCACCCGGUUUCGACUGUGAUGAAGCGUGAGUGACGGUAAUGGGUAAAGAAGCACCGGCUAACUACGUG